rnacentral:lncRNA from 1 species
AAUUCAGUUUAGGGUUUAAAACCGUAAUGCUGACUGAAUGGAAAAAGUUGUGUUUAGGGUUUAAAACCCUAAUGCUGACUAAAUGGAAAAAGUUCAGUUUAGGGUUUGAAACCCUAAUACUGACUUACUGGAAAAAGUUCAGUUUAGGGUUUAAAACCCUAAUGCUGACUAACUAGAAAAGUUCAGUUCAGGGUUUAAAACCCUAAUGCUGACUAAAGGAAAGAGUUCAGUUUAGGGUUUAAAACCCUAAUGCUGACUAAAGGGAAGAGUUCAGUUUAGGGUUUAAAAUCCUAAUGCUGACUGAAUGGAAAAAGUUCAGUUUAGGGUUUAAAACCCUAAUGCUGACUAACUAGGGAAAAGUUCAGUUUAGGGCUGGGGCCCUAAUACUGACUGAAUGGAAAAGUUCAGUUUAGGGUUUAAAACCCUAAUGUUGACUAACUGGAAAAAGUUCAGUUUAGGGUUUAAAACCCUAAUGUUGACUAAAGGAAAGAGUUCAGUUUAGGGUUUAAAACCCUAAUGCUGACUGAAUGGAAAAAGUUCAGUUUAGGUUUAAAACCCUAAUGCUGACUAAAGGAAAGAGUUCAGUUUAGGGUUUAAAACCCUAAUGUUGACUGAAUGGAAAAAGUUCA